rnacentral:sRNA from 1 species
GAAGAGAAAAAGAAAGAAGGUUCUGAGAUGAAAUCCCAAGGUGUUAAGAAGAGUCCUUCUGCAUGUGGAGAUCAGAAGGAGGAUAAUAAAGCAAAGCCAUAAAGAGACCUUCUACAAAGACGAUGAACUGGUUUUCAAUAUCCCGUGGUGAAAACAAGUAAAGAUAAUACAAUAAUACUUUUGUCAAUAUUGCAAAGGUCAAUAAACUAAAUGAAAGGAA